rnacentral:ribozyme from 1 species
AAAGUAAGGACUAUUCAUGAGAAUCAGUCAUGGCUUUAUUGGUAUUCUUUAUAAAACGAAAAAAGCGCAAAAAACACUGAGAAAUCUAUUGCGGUAACAUUUUAUUUGACGA